rnacentral:rRNA from 1 species
UACGUAGGGUGCAAGCGUUGUCCGGAAUUAUUGGGCGUAAAGAGCUCGUAGGCGGUCUGUCGCGUCGGCUGUGAAAUCCCGGAGCUCAACUCCGGGUCUGCAGUCGAUACGGGCAAACUGGAGUACUGCAGGGGAGACUGGGAUUCCUGGUGUAGCGGUGAAAUGCGCAGAUAUCAGGAGGAACACCGGUGGCGAAGGCGGGUCUCUGGGCAGUAACUGACGCUGAGGAGCGAAAGCGUGGGGAGCGAACAGG